CCUCGGCGGGACUGAAUGAUCAAAACUGGUGGUGAGAAUUUUUCCGGACCGUUUCUAGGUAGCCCUCCCCCUCCACCAGCUCGGGGGCCCCCCCUUCCUCGUCCCCCCCCCCCCUCCAGCGUCUGGGCUGAGUGAUCAAAAUAGAGGAAGAUGGUUGUCGCCGCAAUCCAGGGCUUUGCAAGGCGCAGUUUAAUGGGCCGCCUGUCAGCUUCCCGCUCGCUAAAGGAGGUGACAAGCCUGCCGAGCCGGGAAGGGCCUGGGGCUCAGUGGGCUGCACCCUGCGCCCGCGCCCCUGCCCGCCACCUCCCCUAGGGUGAGCCUCCAGAACGCAGGGGGGAGACGCCAAAAUAGACAAGGGCUGCUUUUUUCUUUUUCAUUUUUUUCUUCCUUUUAAAACAAAGCGGCGAUUCAUUCCCUCUCCCCCAGCAGCGCCUUCGGGUGGGAUGGGCAGGCGAGAAGGCCGUUUUCCUCUCCCGGCCUCGGGUCCCUCCCUGAAAUGCGGCGUCAGAUGGUUACUGAUUAAUAUUUUGGAGAGGCCUUGGCAGCGGGCAGCGGGCAGCGGCAAAAUCCGUUCUGGGUUGAGUCGCCAGGAGCUGCCCGCGGCAGACCUACCUGUUUAGGGGCGCUGGAAAUGCGAACCCCGCCGGAGGGACAGUCGCAGGAGCCCCGCAGCCCCACAGGCUCCAGAACCCUGUUGGGCAUUACCUACCCUCGAAGGCAAGCUUUGGAAGGACAGAAAUCCUUGUCGAUCCUGCCUCAGAGAGCAACCCUGGUGACAGGUUUUUAAUUAAGAGAAGCCUGCUCUACCCCCCUGUGCUGUAGAAUCAGCGUUUUCGCAUUUCUAUUUUUUUUAAAUCCAUUUUUUAAGGCAACUUUUCUGGUGAAAAAAAGAGCUAGUUAGCGCCCCAUUCGUUCUAUUUUCUUUUCUCUACUUUUAGAAAAAAAAGAGGGGGAAGGGUUCGAAAGCGAACUGGGGGUGUCUAAUUUAAUUCCUGGAUAAAUUUGAGGAAAAAACUUCAGCCUCUUGAGGGCAGUUUCAAGUUGCCCUUCCUGGAGUCUCCUGCGUGGGUUUCUAGGCUGCCCUCUUUGGGAAGCUGGAGCUCGGCGGGGGGAGGAGGGAGGAGAGAGGAGAAAGGAACGAAAAUAGCCGGAGCCGAGGGGACCGUGAGCGGUGACCGCGCUUGGAGCUGGGCGCACGGGUCUCGGUGGCGGCCAGGGCGGCGGGAGGCACCCGGUGCAACCCCCGGACGGCCAGGAGCAAAGACGGAGAAGAGAGGGGGGUUAGAGAAAGAAGGUAUUGUGUCUGCGUACCUUAGGGGAAGGGGUGGCUGCACACGUGAAAUCAGUGUGGGGCUGCGUGCGGCUGCUAAAGCCGACCCAGGCUAAGGGUCCGGGGCGCCGUGCGCCCUACAAUUUUAUCCAGAGGUCUUUGUGGGUUCCCAGUAAACCCUCCCGCGCCCGAGUCCCCAACACUUUCUGCACCCCCAUGGCCCUUCAGUGUUCUGAACUCAGACCUUGAUCUCCCACCCCCUGAUCCCGCCUGGGUUCUGGAAUGUUUUUCUUUAUUUUAAUACAGCUCAAGAAAAAAAAAAAAAACGUAUCUUUGAGAGUUGGGGUGGGGAAAUAACAAAAGACUUGUGGGUUGGAAAAAAACAAAGGCCUAUUUUUAUAAAUGUUUAAUGCUUUCACCCCUAGAUGCUCCACGACGCCGUAAUUGUGACGGUGGGAUAUGUGUGCCAUAAAUCAUUUAGUUACUAAUAAAAAUUCUGCCGUUUGCCCUGGAUUUGCCAAUGGCGUUUGCAUUUUUCAAGUAUGCGCCUCGUCGGCGUGGCAAACCAAGCCGGCAUUUCAUUAGGGCCGCGCGGUUCGGGGCCGAUGAGGCGCCCUCCCCCGCCAGAAUGUGUGCGCCCCAGCCCCCUCCGCCGCCCGCUCUGCACAGCCCGCACCCGUGAGCUGCCACGCGGCCCCCCAGCCACCACCCGGCGCGGGGCCUGGAGACGCGGCGACACGGACAGAGCCAGCUCGUGCUGCUCCCGUGGGGCGCAGGAGAGGCCCUCCGCGUAGCUGCUCGGACCCGGCCUGGUGUCCCCCUCGCGGGCCGCACGCCCUGCCGCCCCGCAGUGGCCGAGAAAACAGGCCGGGAGCCAUCUUGGGGCGUGGGACGGAUCCCAAGAGGAGGCUGCAGCUAAAGCCCCUUGAAAAAAACCCUGCCAUGACGGGGGGGGGCCUCUGGGCACCCCUAGCCAGGCCUUGGGGUCUGGGAGAACGCGGUCUGCGCCCUGGCCUGCCACACCGAACCGAGAAAACCCAGCUGCCUGCCCGGUGCGGAGCGGGAACCACCGCACAGCCCCGCCGCCAUCUUCCGCGCCCCACCCCCCUCGAGCUUGUUUACCCGGCGGGAUCCGUGGCCAAAAACCGUGUUGACGCAGUGGGUGUGUGGGUGUGUGUUUUGUACUGACUGGGCGGAAAAUCAGCCGGGGGUGGGGACCUCCACGCAGUCUCAAGCCGCAAUUCCCGGAGAACCCACCCUGGCCAGCUCGGCUGGCCCAGUGCGCUUGUCCGAGGCCAGCCGGAGUAGCCUGAGCUGGGAUCUUUGUAUGUGUCCCCAGGCAUCCGCUCUCAAGACGCGUUCCAGCCGACAAAAUUCUCCCCCUUCAUUAUAAAGCCAAAGGACAGGCCAACCUUGAGCCCGGCUGUGUCCCCUGCCGCGCCUUUGUCGGCGCUGAGGCCUGCGAAUGUUGGCUGGUCCUCCGAUUCCUGGAGCACAAGUCGGCCUCAGUUCUCCCCACGGCACGGUCGAACCUGGUUCUUCCAGAACCUUGGUGUUGCUGGCCGCGUGGAUACAUCUUCCCCGUUUUCUCAGCAAGGGUAAGGGGACAGCUAGCAUUCUUUCCAAGGCAUGGAAGUCCAAGUCACCCCAUCGGUUGCCCCGAACCGCCUUUCUCCGAUCGGAGCCCCCGAACUACACCAGCGUCUAAGGUAGUGAAGGGGAUGCCGAGGAUGGCGAGCUCCAAAGGCCGUGGGCAGUUCUAGGCAAGAGUUUCCGCAGGGUCGAACAACCAGGGAGCUCCCUGCCCGGGCGCCGCUAAAACCCGGAGAGGCCGCGCCCGGCACAGCCAUCCUCGCUGCAACUGGACCAGGUGCGGCUCAGCCAGCCCAGUCGAGAGCCAUGAGGACUCACCAGGAAGGCCAGAGACGCGGUGCCAGCGCCCCGCUCGCCACCAGAACCCUGGUGCACGGCUAGGAGAGCCCGGGCCGUUGCGCCAGGCCGGGCCUCGGAGGAUUCCUCCGACUCCUCUCGGCCCCGCCUACGACCCUGGCCUCUUCCUCCGGCCCGGGUCGGGUCUUCCACUCCACUGUUUGGCUCGAAGAGGACGGAGAAGCGCUCAGUGCGCUGGGGGCCGGCCACGGCCAUAAAUCUCCCUCACCAGCCCUCCUUCCGCUGCUCACUGGCGGGUGUUCCAGCCUGGCCACUCGUCCCCGGCCGCCAGGUACCCUGCUCUCCCGGUCACUACGCUGGAAAUCACUGUCAGGAGCUUCCCCGUUCGCCAAAAAGAGGGAGUCGCCUCGCCCAUUCGGUGCCACCACCAGCCAUCCCCUCGAGUGCCGGACCCCGAGGCGGCCUGGGCCUCACGGAUCACCGCCCUGGGUAGGGGCGUGCGGGGGCCAGGUGAAGGCCUGCUGAGGUUUGAAUGGGUGCGCAGCUAUCCGAGCCACCGAGGGGCGACGCCUAGGUCAGGAACAGUGGCUUCUCAGCUGGUCACCUCAACGGACCCUGCCUUAGUCCCGCGCCCUUGGAUCCCUCUUCGCUCGCCACGGGUUCCCCAGCUUGGCGACCCUUGUUUGACGCCCUACCCUCUUGGCACAAAUAACCAAACCAUUGGGAAAACAGGAAUCUGUCGCUUGCAGGUCGAAGGCUAGGCGGGGCGCUGGUUUUUCCACCCUAACAGUCGGGAGGAAGUUGUUGGGAAGAUCUGCAGUAGUAACGACUAAUGUUAUGGGCAUUGUCUGUCUUCUUUGACAGAGGGGCCCGCAGACCUCUCUGCUGGUCCCUGCUUCAGCCAAGCAAGUGGAGGUACUCAGUGGGGACUAACCACCACGAAAGGGGCCGUGGGACGCUGGGUGGGGACAGUUGCGGAGGGGUUGACAAUGCACCUUCUUGGGUGCCUCCCCAAAACCUCACAUGGUGCCAGUGACACAAUUCCGAGCGGGUGACAGAGGAGGCCGGGUGCAGGGGCUUUUGAAACUGGGCCCCGAGGUCGCUCUCACUCAAGGAGCUCCAGCUCCCUCAAAUUUCCAAAAGCACAGUUGGAGGGACCGAGGGCUUCCGGCAGCCAGGCGCGCAGGAAUUUGCGCGCUGGCCCCAGCGACGCCCGGGAGCGCAGAGGCUGCCCAGCCACAUUCCGGCGAACCGCCCCAGCGAGGCCCCAGCCCAGGAAGCGGCUCGGAAAACAAAGCGCUGUGGUCUCAGCCCAAGGUUAAAGUCCACCGCCAGCGCUUUUUCCCCCGGAAUCUGAGAGCGAUAGCGUUUCUCCAAAUAAACCGCCAAUAAAUCAGCUCCCGGGCCGAGCCAACUGAAGAGCUCUGGUGACCUUGGGGAAUACUUCCUGCCUGCCAGACCCAGCAGAGGACAGGCGUGGGGGAGGGGGCCAAUGUCAGCCCGUUCCCCCCACCCCCC